rnacentral:rRNA from 1 species
UACGUAGGGUGCGAGCGUUAAUCGGAAUUACUGGGCGUAAAGCGUGCGCAGGCGGUCUGUUAAGACCGAUGUGAAAUCCCCGGGCUUAACCUGGGAACUGCAUUUGUGACUGCAUCGCUGGAGUGCGGCAGAGGGGGAUGGAAUUCCGCGUGUAGCAGUGAAAUGCGUAGAUAUGCGGAGGAACACCGAUGGCGAAGGCAAUCCCCUGGGCCUGCACUGACGCUCAUGCACGAAAGCGUGGGGAGCAAACAGG